ensembl:misc_RNA Y_RNA Y RNA
AGUUGGUCCAUAGGUAGUAAGUUAUCUCAAUUGAUUGUUCAGUCAAUUACAUAUUGAACUUUUUGUUCUACUCUUUCUCCCCUUGUCACUACUGUACUUGACUACACUUAAA